rnacentral:lncRNA from 1 species
CUGUUGUGAUCACCAAAGCAACACUAUCCGUUUAGGUGCUGGAUUAGAAUCCAGGCGAGUCCGCAGUAUAGUCUUUACACUUCAUCAACUUCCACACAGGACAUAAAUUGCACUAAUAUAGUAAUAUACUGAAAUCUCAGACCAACUGUUUGUCAUCGGAUUAGAAUGUGAUGACACAGAAUAAAGAUGUGAGACAGAAUCUGUGCUGAGGUCUAAAUUCACAUUGGAAGUCUGGGAAGAGAAGACUGUUUAUAAAAUUAUAGCCCAGGAAUUGCUGCCAAAGUCAGCCUUUGGUGCAGCUGUAAGUCGGAUGGAAUCCACCUUCCUGACGUCAGACCCACCCACUGGAACACUGCUCCUCUGACUGGGGCUUCCCUGAAUGGAAACUACAUGUCAUACUGCAAAAGGUAAGGAACCCAGUGAGAAAGACAGAGAGAAGUAUGGACAAGAAACAGAUCCUAAACCUGUUUUGUUUUAUUUUUGGUAGUAGUUGUUUAUUUUUGAAAACAUUCAAACCACCUGUAUUGGUGGCUGUUAUUAUGAAAUAAAUAAACUGAGAAACAACAAGACAAUUUGGCCUCUACAAUUUGUUUAGUUUUGACUAAGUAUUUGCCUUGGAAGAAGUAUGUGUACAAUAUUCAUUUUUAAAAGAUGCAACAGUCACCUCGUUACUUGGAGUUUUACUUGAGGCUUGAAUGGACUGAAACCACCUGGACACCACUAGAAGCUACAUCAAGGAAAAGAAAGGCAACAUAUUGAAUCUCUUGGGAGAAACUCAUCCUGUAUCUGCUCGAUUGAAAACAUGAAGGUGCACAUUCCAAGCUGCAUAUGCUCAGGUCCGAGUUUCCAAGGAAACAAGGGACUGCUCAUCUAUCUGCAAAACUGAACUGACGAGUCACUUUCAGCUUGUUACAAACCUUGAUUCUGAAUCAAAUUCUAGUGUGCAGUCUAAAAA